AGAGUUUGAUCAUGGCUCAGAUUGAACGCUGGCGGCAGGCCUAACACAUGCAAGUCGAACGGUAACAGGAAGCAGCUUGCUGCUUCGCUGACGAGUGGCGGACGGGUGAGUAAUGUCUGGGAAGCUGCCUGAUGGAGGGGGAUAACUACUGGAAACGGUAGCUAAUACCGCAUAAUGUCGCAAGACCAAAGAGGGGGACCUUCGGGCCUCUUGCCAUCGGAUGUGCCCAGAUGGGAUUAGCUUGUUGGUGGGGUAACGGCUCACCAAGGCGACGAUCCCUAGCUGGUCUGAGAGGAUGACCAGCCACACUGGAACUGAGACACGGUCCAGACUCCUACGGGAGGCAGCAGUGGGGAAUAUUGCACAAUGGGCGCAAGCCUGAUGCAGCCAUGCCGCGUGUAUGAAGAAGGCCUUCGGGUUGUAAAGUACUUUCAGCGGGGAGGAAGGGAGUAAAGUUAAUACCUUUGCUCAUUGACGUUACCCGCAGAAGAAGCACCGGCUAACUCCGUGCCAGCAGCCGCGGUAAUACGGAGGGUGCAAGCGUUAAUCGGAAUUACUGGGCGUAAAGCGCACGCAGGCGGUUUGUUAAGUCAGAUGUGAAAUCCCCGGGCUCAACCUGGGAACUGCAUCUGAUACUGGCAAGCUUGAGUCUCGUAGAGGGGGGUAGAAUUCCAGGUGUAGCGGUGAAAUGCGUAGAGAUCUGGAGGAAUACCGGUGGCGAAGGCGGCCCCCUGGACGAAGACUGACGCUCAGGUGCGAAAGCGUGGGGAGCAAACAGGAUUAGAUACCCUGGUAGUCCACGCCGUAAACGAUGUCGACUUGGAGGUUGUGCCCUUGAGGCGUGGCUUCCGGAGCUAACGCGUUAAGUCGACCGCCUGGGGAGUACGGCCGCAAGGUUAAAACUCAAAUGAAUUGACGGGGGCCCGCACAAGCGGUGGAGCAUGUGGUUUAAUUCGAUGCAACGCGAAGAACCUUACCUGGUCUUGACAUCCACGGAAGUUUUCAGAGAUGAGAAUGUGCCUUCGGGAACCGUGAGACAGGUGCUGCAUGGCUGUCGUCAGCUCGUGUUGUGAAAUGUUGGGUUAAGUCCCGCAACGAGCGCAACCCUUAUCCUUUGUUGCCAGCGGUCCGGCCGGGAACUCAAAGGAGACUGCCAGUGAUAAACUGGAGGAAGGUGGGGAUGACGUCAAGUCAUCAUGGCCCUUACGACCAGGGCUACACACGUGCUACAAUGGCGCAUACAAAGAGAAGCGACCUCGCGAGAGCAAGCGGACCUCAUAAAGUGCGUCGUAGUCCGGAUUGGAGUCUGCAACUCGACUCCAUGAAGUCGGAAUCGCUAGUAAUCGUGGAUCAGAAUGCCACGGUGAAUACGUUCCCGGGCCUUGUACACACCGCCCGUCACACCAUGGGAGUGGGUUGCAAAAGAAGUAGGUAGCUUAACCUUCGGGAGGGCGCUUACCACUUUGUGAUUCAUGACUGGGGUGGAGUCGUAACAAGGUAACCGUAGGGGAACCUGCGGUUG
rnacentral:rRNA from 1 species